rnacentral:rRNA from 1 species
GACAGCAGUCGCCGCGGUAAUACAGAGGGUGCAAGCGUUAAUCGGAAUUACUGGGCGUAAAGCGCGCGUAGGUGGUUUGUUAAGUUGGAUGUGAAAGCCCCGGGCUCAACCUGGGAACUGCAUCCAAAACUGGCAAGCUAGAGUACGGUAGAGGGUGGUGGAAUUUCCUGUGUAGCGGUGAAAUGCGUAGAUAUAGGAAGGAACACCAGUGGCGAAGGCGACCACCUGGACUGAUACUGACACUGAGGUGCGAAAGCGUGGGGAGCAAACAGGAUUAGAUACCCCAGUAGUCCCUGUCUCUUAUAA